CUAACAGGGUAUUUAUUUGGGAACUUGCAUUUUCCUGGUGUAGCCUACAUGCUUCAAGGAAAACUAACUACCUUUUCCACCAAUGACAGGGAUAGGCCAUGAUUGACAGGCCAAUCAGCAUGGUUCCCCCUCCUCACCACCAACUACUGUCAUUGAUUUCAAAGUGGACAUUGGAACUCAAAUGAUACAAUCAAGGUGGUCUUUUCAAAGGCACUGAAAACCUUGAAGAGUGAGAAGCAAUAGAUUAGCUGUGAAAUCAAAAGGAGGUUUAAGAAGAGCUUUGAAAUCACUGAAAGAUUAGGAACCUGGGGCUCAAAAAGGCUAAACGAAUUGCCAGUCACCACAAACAGUAAGUACCAGUCAGAAUUGGCAUUUAGAUAUUAUGACUCCAUUUCCAGUGCCUUUUCUAGCACAACUUGCUGAAAAGAGGGAAGGUGGAGAACAUUAAAAUGCAUCUGUUAUACUCAAAGUUAAGAACACAUUUCUUUUUAAACUGUCUUAGCCAGACUCAAUGACAUUUCUCAGAGGGGUUACUAUCUGAUUGCCUUACCUACCUUUCCUGAACAAGGGAAUUUCCUGUUUCCCCCUAUAGGGUAUUUCACUAUCAGAAGAUUAAUGAAAGUCUAUAUUUAAAAUCUGAAUCUAAAUUUAUAAAUGUAGAUUUCUAAAUCUAAAUUUAUAUUUAAAAUACUACUCAGAUGGCAUGCCGUCUUAAAGCAGGUUCUCCCAGGACUUUAUUUAUUCUCAUAUUCUUAUAAGGAAAUAUGAACCUCUGACUCUAUCUCUCUGUUUCUUCUCUCAGUGGAUUACAUAUCGGUUUAAACAAUUCACUGCCUCACCCAUAUUGGAUGAGUUUCUAUAAUGUUGGCAGGCCAUGUGUUAGACCUGUGGAGGGGUUUAUAUGUCCCAUGACUCCUUAACUUUAACUGUCUGGCUAACUGUGCACAGCUACGGCUUUCUAUAUUCCUGGAUGAAUGUCUGCCAUUAGCUUGCAGCUGACCAUGGUGUUGGCAUCCGUGUAUGGCCAUGGAUCGUUACACACGCUGGGACUGUGGUGUAGGGGUAUGUAAUUUCAUUGCUUUUCCCACCUGAUUUCUAACUACACCCAAUUUAUUUUAUUAUUUUCAAUGUCUUUAAUAAAAAUUAUUUUCUUCCCCAAAAUGUUAAAAGGGAGAGGAAGAAUGAGUGGACCAAAGGAGAAUGGAUUUUGUAAACAUUAAAAGAUGCCCCAAAGAA
rnacentral:lncRNA from 10 species